rnacentral:rRNA from 1 species
AACCUCCGCAAUGUGAGAAAUCGCGACGGGGGGAUCCCAAGUGCCAUUCUUAACGGGAUGGCUUUUCAUUAGUGUAAAGAGCUUUUGGAAUAAGGGCUGGGCAAGACCGGUGCCAGCCGCCGCGGUAACACCGGCAGCUCUAGUGGUAGCAGUUUUUAUUGGGCCUAAAGCGUCCGUAGCCGGUUUAAUAAGUCUCUGGUGAAAUCCUGUAGCUUAACUGUGGGAAUUGCUGGAGAUACUAUUAGACUUGAGACCGGGAGAGGUUAGAGGUACUCCCAGGGUAGAGGUGAAAUUCUGUAAUCCUGGGAGGACCGCCUGUUGUGAAGGCGUCUAACUGGAACGGUUCUGACGGUGAGGGACGAAAGUUAGGGGCGCGAACCGGGAUUAGAUACCCGGGUAGUCCUAACUGUAAACGAUGCGGACUUGGUGUUGGGGUGGCUUUGAGCUGUCCCAGUGCCGAAGGGAAGCUGUUAAGUCCGCCGCCUGGGAAGUACGGUCGCAAGACUGAAACUUAAAGGAAUU